CAUGGAGGUGUUCUGCAGGGCUAACUGAAAGUUCCAGUUGAUAAUGGCAGGAUUAGGGCCUGGUUUGUUAAAGCUCCGGCAUGGCUCAGGUCUGGGACGAAGGAUCGGUGUCCUUGAGAUGUUUUCCUGGCCUUCAGCAAGGGGAUGUGCUGUCUCGGUCUCUGGGGAUCCCUGGAUGUUUGACACUGAACUUGAAGCUCCUGCGGCGUUUGACGUAGCCUGAUGAGCCUUAAUAUAAUGAGUGUUCCCUUUUUUAAAUCCAAAAUUAAGAUUUUUUCUUCUUUUACGGUCACCUUUCAUUGUUUUCAUGUGUAGUGAAGAGUGGAUUUGAAAGCAAGAUUGAAUUAUGACAGUGUUUAUUUGGACACUUUUUUAGUGGUAUUUACUGCAAUAUAUUCCUUUGACACUCACCUGUCAAAACAGACUCCCAUAGGGUAUUAAGAUUACCUAUACAAAGACUCUUAGCCAAUCAGCUGCACAUGGCCCCUCUUCACAGUCAGGAAAAAGGAUAUGGGGGUGGGCUUAAAAAUCAGUUUAUUUUGAAUGUUAUGUACACUUUUAUCAGUAAUAUGAUACAUCAUUUGAUUUAUGAAUAAAUGUACUUUAAAUGUU